GCCGCUCGAAACUUUGCACACCUCUACGCGGUGAGCGGUAGGCAACACAAGUGAUUGUGGCUAAGAAUGCAAAA
rfam:Clostridiales bacterium 52_15 Ley3_66761_scaffold_1223, whole genome shotgun sequence.